rnacentral:lncRNA from 1 species
CUCGAACCCGGGUCCUCCAGAGUGGAAAGCCGAAGCGUUUCCACGCGGCCAAUCCGGAUUAAUAUGGUAAACAAUAUUCGAAAUCAGGAAAUAUUUACUAAAAAAUAUUCUUGAUGAUAAUUAUAACAAAAUAAAAUUUGCCCUGAAUAAUGGAUCUUAUGGAAAAAAAUAUUCGUCUAGAAAAGUCAUAAGAGAAUGAAACUCGGAGUUUCAGUUUCUUAUGAUUUUUUUAUAUGAAUAUUUUUCUGUUGAAACAGAUAUUCGCCUUAAAAUAGUGAAGAAUAGAACUACCGCUGAAAAACGAAUAUUCCGUUCAGAAAUAAUUCGCUUUAAAACAAAUUGUGAGAGACAGUUUCUAGAGAAGUCGAAUAUUCUGUUGAAUAUAUAUUCUGUAUAUAAUACAAGGCAUUGCCGAAUACUAUAGCUAAUAAUAAUAUAAAAUCACAAUACCUAAGCAUACGACUUCAUCAAAUGCGUGAAUCCCUAUGUCGGCCAUCUGGCUGGAUGGUCGCUGUAAAAGUGUGCUAUUAUUUCCACCCUGAUGGACCGGAUUCAUUUUCCAGGUCCCACUCCACCAUUUUUUACGAAGGGUUCGAGUUCGGUUCGUUGGAUCCCAUCCUCUGUCUGACAGCUGAUCCCAUCAAAGGUAUGGGCGGCUCAUGGUGCAAUGGAAAUGCCUAUGGACCGCUUAUUAUUCAUCUAAUGCAGUGUUUUCCCAACUGUGUGGCGCAACUUUUGCAAGGAGGCGCAAAAGUUAAUAAAAACAUCAUUUUUGAGGCAAAUAAACAAAAUAAAUUCAAAUUGAUGUUGAAAAAAUGAAUCAGCAAAAAUGUUAUAAAUACAGUACA